AUACGUAGGGGGCGAGCGUUAUCCGGAUUUAUUGGGCGUAAAGGGUGCGUAGGCGGUAAAUUAAGUCUAAGGUUAAAGUGCAGGGCUCAACCCUGUGAUGCCUUAAAAACUGGUUUUCUUGAGUUUGGUAGAGGUAAGUGGAACUCCAUGUGUCGCGGUAAAAUGCGUAAAUAUAUGGAAGAACACCAGUGGCGAAGGCGGCUUACUGGGCCACAACUGACGCUGAGGCACGAAAGCGUGGGGAGCAAACAGGAUUAGAUACCCUGGUAGUCCACGCUGUAAACGAUGAAUACUAAGUGUUGGAAAAAUCCAGUGCUGAAGUUAACGCAUUAAGUAUUCCGCCUGAGGAGUACGUACGCAAGGAUGAAACUCAAAUGAAUUGACGGGG
rnacentral:rRNA from 1 species